rnacentral:misc_RNA from 1 species
CAACCAUCAAGCCCCGGGCUUGUGUUGGGGACCUGCGGCUGCCGCAGGCCCUGAAAAGCAGUGGCGGGCUCGCUGUCACACCGAGCGUAGUAGCAUACAUCUCGCUCUGGGCGUGCUGCGGGUUCCGGCCGUUAAACCACCUUUUAACCCAA